AUGGCGGAUUUGGUUGCUCGUUAGCUGGAUGAGCAUUUUCAGUUUGAAGAUACAGAAAAAUGUCGCAUUACCUAGUUGAAGUACCGAAAGAACCUCCGUUAAAAGGAUGCUGGAUUUUAAUUGCUGCCAAGAACUGGAUAUAUGAAGAUGUUUUGUAUACACCAGACAAUUCUUAUUCUCAUGCCUAUAAACUUAGCUUGCUCAAAGAUGGAAAGGACCCAGACAUUAUUACUUGGGAACGCAGUCAUUCUUUCAAAGUGAUCCACCAAUUUGACUCAUAUGAAGAGGCCAGAGAAAAUGUGCCACGAGCUGAGAAAGGCUUACCAAUUUUCACCAGGUCAUCUGAUAUUGGAAGAGGUCAUCUUCAAAGGAUAGAAAAAAGUUUGAAGCUGCCUGGGGAACUUUCUACAAGUGAACAAGAGAGUGAACAAGAAGAGGACAGUUUAACUCAAACCAAAAAGUCAACGGUGAAGAAGAAAAGUACACCUGUUAAAAGAAAAUCUUCAUCUGAAACUACCAAGCUUCCUUUGCCACCUCCUACGAUGAGAAGCAAAAGUAAGAAUGUCACGCCAAACAGCAGUAACAAAAUUGCAAAAUCCACUGUGAAAAUACCAUCAGUUGGAACUGCACUUGCCGGGCCAUCCGUACUAUCAGAUAAAAAAAAAGAUAGGUGGAAUGCAGUCAACAAUGUUAGGAGCUGUUCAACCCAAGUGAUGUCUUUCUAGAAAAGUAAUGAGAUCCAAGAAAAGCAGUAUGAUAAUGAUUAGCACAUUGACAGUGACAGUAGCGAAGAAGUCACGCCAAACAGCAGUAACAAAAUUGCAAAAUCCACUGUGAAAAUACCAUCAGUUGGAACUGCACUUGCCGGGCCAUCCGUACUAUCAG
rnacentral:misc_RNA from 1 species